rnacentral:rRNA from 1 species
CUUUCCUUGAUGACGACUGGCGCACGGGUGAGUAACGCGUAUCCAACCUUCCCAUAACUACGGGAUAACCCGUUGAAAGACGGCCUAAUACCGUAUGAUAUCGUUUGCUGACAUCAAAUAACGAUUAAAGGUUUAGCGGUUAUGGAUGGGGAUGCGUCUGAUUAGCUUGUUGGCGGGGUAACGGCCCACCAAGGCUACGAUCAGUAGGGGUUCUGAGAGGAAGGUCCCCCACAUUGGAACUGAGACACGGUCCAAACUCCUACGGGAGGCAGCAGUG